ACAGAUCGUUCAGAGUUUGAUCCUGGCUCAGGAUGAACGCUAGCGGCAGGCCUAACACAUGCAAGUCGAGCGGGAUCCAUCUUCGGAUGGUGAGAGCGGCGCACGGGUGCGUAACGCGUAUACAACCUACCUUUUGCUACGGGAUAGCCCAGAGAAAUUUGGAUUAACACCGUAUAGUAUAUAGAGGUUUCAUGACUUUUAUAUUAAAGGUUACGGCAAAAGAUGGGUAUGCGUCCUAUUAGCUAGAUGGUAAGGUAACGGCUUACCAUGGCAACGAUAGGUAGGGGCCCUGAGAGGGGGAUCCCCCACACUGGUACUGAGACACGGACCAG
rnacentral:rRNA from 1 species